CGCGGUAAUGGUAGGGCGCAGCGUUGUCCGGAAUUGUUGGGCGUAAAGAGCUCGUAGGUGGUUUGUCACGUCAGAUGUGAAAUUCUGGGGCUUAACCCCAAACCUGCAUUCGAUACGGACAAACUAGAGUGUGGUAGGGGAGACUGGAAUUCCUGGUGUAACGGUGGAAUGCGCAGAUGUCAGGAGGAACACCAAUGGCGAAGGCAGGUCUCUGGGCCGUUACUGACACUGAGGAGCGAAAGCGUGGGGAGCGAACAAGAUUACAUACCCUG
rnacentral:rRNA from 1 species